rnacentral:lncRNA from 1 species
GAAAAAAGGGGAAAAUUGCAAACUGCGGAAAAAACUAUCUGGAUACAUCAUUAAGAGAGAUGUUCAAAACCAUGAAACAUGUGUGUCACCCGCAUUUAUGUGUUCUCACAAGUACAACGAAGGGCAACACUAACCACACACAUCAAACAUAUAAACAAGAAAUUCAGAGGGGAAAAAGAGCUUUUUUAACAAUAUCUCAAUGCGACCUGCACUACUCUCCAGCCAUCAGACCCAAUUUCAAUUUUCCUGUCGACAAGCAACUCGAACAGGUCAAGUUUGUGCAGGAAAAAGGGUAUUUCACUCCCUAGGGUUGAGAUAGAGAGCUCAAUCACUAGGGACUCCGAGUGAAAUC